rnacentral:tRNA from 1 species
CGGGGCGUAGCGCAGUUUGGUCAGCGCGCCUGGCUUGGGACCAGGAGGUCAGCGGUUCGAAUCCGCUCGCCCCGA